rnacentral:lncRNA from 1 species
CAGGUUCUGUGCUCCGAAAAGGGCAUUCAGGCUUCAGCCAGAAAUGGUGUGGGAUGAGAAUUUGAGUCUCCCAUGCUAGUUUCUCAAAAGUCCACUACCUAUAUAACCCUGAAUCUUUUUAGGUCUUAAGUCAGCCCUAUGGGGGUAACAGUGUUAGUGCCAUUCAUUAGGCAUGUUAUGACUUGAAGCUCAGGAGGAUGGGGGUAGAGGGUAUGAAAGAAAUAGCAAAAGAUCUAAUAGAAGCAAAAUAAAGGAGGUAUUUAUCAUGAAAAUCUU